GAGGGCUGUCUACGUCUGUCGCGUAGAGUCAGGCCGCUCUCUGGCCACUCGGCGGGGCGGGUUUCAGGGGGUGCGGCGGGGACCCCGAGUUUAGGGGAGGGUUUGGCGACCCCAGCGAGCGUCCUAACUCAUCCUAACGCAUUGUGCUCAGCUGUCUCGCCCUCUUUUGGAAAAACGAGCGGGUAGCGGUGGUGGGGAGAGACGUGGAAGGGAGAAGUACACAAAGUUUAAUUUUAAAAAUUCAGUUGGUGAGCUUCAUGUCGGGGACACCCUGUGUCGCGUAAGGGAGGUAACGGGAGGGCCCGCCGGGACCCAGAUAGUCUGACUCUGUGACCUCUCGAGGCAUCGGCAUCUGUUGCAUUAAUUUGGACAAGGAAGAGGAGGUCCAUUCCAGGUGCCUGGGGAGUCUGUGGCUGGUUUCUAAACUGUUGCAGGUGAACAUGGCCUUGAGGUAAAUCCUGCCCCUUGUUGAAGUCUAGUUUCAGCAGAUUAUUUCUGGCUAACGUGGAAUUGGAAUAUUUUAUAAGAAACUCAAGUUUUAUUUGCUUCUGUCCUAGACUUAAUUUUUCUUCUUGUAGAAGAUGAGAACCAGUUUAAACAGAAAUUCUUUAUGGUAAAUAAUUAUGAUGCUUAAAUUAAAUGGAUUUUAAAUGUCAAAGCCACUUGUAGAUGGUUUUAUUCUUGGUCAAAUAAAAAGUUACUAAAUUC